AACGUAGGAGACAAACGUUAUCCGGAGUUACUGGGCGUAAAGGGCGUGUAGGUGGUAUCGUAAGUCUGGCGUGAAAUUUCUCGGCUUAACCGAGGCAGGUCGUCGGAUACUGCGAGGCUAGAGGACGGUAGAGGCGUGUGGAAUUCCGGGCGUAGUGGUGAAAUGCGUAGAGAUCCGGAGGAACACCAGUGGCGAAGGCGACACGCUGGGCCGUACCUGACACUGAUGCGCGACAGCAUGGGGAGCAAACAGG
rnacentral:rRNA from 1 species